GUCUCCUGGGGAAUCCAUCGGCUCAACCGAUGGGCGUUCAGGAGAUACUGGCAACCUAGGGACCGGGAGAGGUGAGAGGUACUCCAGGGGUAGGAGUGAAAUCCUGUAAUCCUUGGGGGACCACCUGUGGCGAAGGCGUCUCACUAGAACGGCUCCGACAGUGAGGGACGAAAGCUGGGGGAGCAAACCGGAUUAGAUACCCGGGUAGUCCCAGCUGUAAACGAUGCGCGUUAGGUGUAUCGGUGACCACGAGUCACCGAGGUGCCGAAGAGAAAUCGUGAAACGUGCCGCCUGGGAAGUACGGUCGCAAGGCUGAAACUUAAAGGAAUUGGCGGGGGAGCACCACAACAGGUGGAGCCUGCGGUUUAAUCGGACUCAACGCCGGGAAGCUCACCGGAUAAGACAGCUGAAUGAUAGCCGGGUUGAAGACUCUGCUUGACUAGCUGAGAGGAGGUGCAUGGCCGUCGUCAGUUCGUACUGUGAAGCAUCCUGUUAAGUCAGGCAACGAGCGAGACCCACGCCAACAGUUGCCAGCAUGUCCUCCGGGAUGGUGGGGACACUGUUGGGACCGCCUCUGCUAAAGAGGAGGAAGGAAUGGGCAACGGUAGGUCAGCAUGCCCCGAAUUAUCCGGGCUACACGCGGGCUACAAUGGUCAGGACAAUGGGUAUCAACACCGAAAGGUGAAGGCAAUCUCCCUAACCUGUCCUUAGUACGGAUUGUGGGCUGCCACUCGCCACAUGAAGCUGGAAUCUGUAAUAAUCGCGCCCUCAAAUGGCGCGGUGAAUAUGUCCCUGCUCCCUGCAC
rnacentral:rRNA from 1 species